GGUGAGGUGGCCGAGCGGUCUAAGGCGCCAGACUAAGGUGUUGUGGACCGAACAUUUGGUGUGUUCGCGUGUCACGUGAUCUGGUCCGAAAGGGCGCGAGUUCGAAUCUCGCCCUCAUCA